rnacentral:rRNA from 1 species
AGUGAACGCUGGCGGUAGGCCUAACACAUGCAAGUCGAACGGCAGCACAGUAAGAGUUUGUUCUUACGUGUGGCGUGUCGCAGACGGGUGUGGUGUACAUCGGACUCUAUUUUUUCGUGGGGGAUCUAGUAGGGAAACUUACUCUAAUACCGUAUCCGACCUACACGUGAAAGCAGGAGCUCUUCGCCCCUUGCGCUCUUGUAUGCGCCGAUGUCGGUUUAGAUAGUUGGCGGGGUCAAGGCCCACCAAGGGGACGAGCCCUCGCUGGUCUGAGGGGGUGAACAGGCCAACGGGAAAUUGAACACGGUCCAGACUCCUACGGGAGGGAGCAGUGGGGAAUAUUGCGCAAAGGGCGCAAGCCUGAUGCCGCCAUGCCGCGUGUGUGAAAAAGGCCUUCGGGUUGUAAAGUCCUUUUUGCGGGGAGAAAAAGAGUAAAGUUUAUACCCCCGCUUAUUGACGGUACCCGAAAAAGAAGCCCCGGCUAACUCCGUG